GACGAACGCUGGCGGCGUGCCUAAUACAUGCAAGUCGAGCGAGCUUGCCUAGAUGAAUUUGGUGCUUGCACCAGAUGAAACUAGAUACAAGCGAGCGGCGGACGGGUGAGUAACACGUGGGUAACCUGCCCAAGAGACUGGGAUAACACCUGGAAACAGAUGCUAAUACCGGAUAACAACACUAGACGCAUGUCUAGAGUUUAAAAGAUGGUUCUGCUAUCACUCUUGGAUGGACCUGCGGUGCAUUAGCUAGUUGGUAAGGCAACGGCUUACCAAGGCAAUGAUGCAUAGCCGAGUUGAGAGACUGAUCGGCCACAUUGGGACUGAGACACGGCCCAAACUCCUACGGGAGGCAGCAGUAGGGAAUCUUCCACAAUGGACGCAAGUCUGAUGGAGCAACGCCGCGUGAGUGAAGAAGGGUUUCGGCUCGUAAAGCCCUGUUGGUAGUGAAGAAAGAUAGAGGUAGUAACUGGCCUUUAUUUGACGGUAAUUACUUAGAAAGUCACGGCUAACUACGUG
rnacentral:rRNA from 1 species